UGGGGAAUAUUGCACAAUGGGCGAAAGCCUGAUGCAGCAACGCCGCGUGAGUGAUGAAGGCCUUCGGGUUGUAAAGCUCUGUCUUUUGGGACGAUAAUGACGGUACCAAAGGAGGAAGCCACGGCUAACUACGUGCCAGCAGCCGCGGUAAUACGUAGGUGGCAAGCGUUGUCCGGAUUUACUGGGCGUAAAGGAUGCGUAGGCGGAUUUUUAAGUGAGAUGUGAAAACCCUAAGCUUAACUUGGGGACUGCAUUUCAUACUGGAAAUCUAGAGUACGGGAGAGGAGAAUGGAAUUCCUAGUGUAGCGGUGAAAUGCGUAGAGAUUAGGAAGAACACCAGUGGCGAAGGCGAUUCUCUGGACCGUAACUGACGCUGAGGCAUGAAAGCGUGGGUAGCAAACAGGAUUAGAUACCCUGGUAGUCCACGCCGUAAACGAUGAGUACUAGGUGUAGGAGGUAUCGACCCCUUCUGUGCCGCAGUUAACACAAUAAGUACUCCGCCUGGGAAGUACGAUCGCAAGAUU
rnacentral:rRNA from 1 species